AGGGAAAGGCUCAACGGUGCCGUCGGAUGCUCAAGCCAGAGAAAAGUAAGUACCAACGUCUACCAUUGUCCGUACCAACGUCGUCCGGCCACCGUCCGGCUGUUAAAUGGGAGAGCGCUUCGUCAACAUGGCGUGAAUCGCUUACUAUACAUUUUCUCCUUCGUUUACUAUCCUCGCGCGCGCGCGUACCGUUUACCUUACCUCGUUCGCACCAUUACUACUAUAACCUUUCUUUUUAUGUACUUUUGUAAAUGGAGUUUUUACAUAGCCGGACGUGCACGCUCGGUUUAUGCAUAUGGCUGAGAUGGACGGUUCCAUCACGGUACGCGGGGGUGUAAUGGCGAAAUGUGUGUUGUUUUGACGUUGUUUUCUUUUGUCUUUCAGGUUAGCACUUUACGUUUAUGAAUACCUGUUACACGUAGGAGCCCAGAAAGCGGCGCAGAC
rnacentral:lncRNA from 1 species